rnacentral:rRNA from 1 species
GACGAACGUUGGCGGCGUGCUUAAUACAUGCAAGUCAACUGAAGCAGUGGUAGCAAUAUCGCUGUGUAGGUGGCGCACGGGUGAGUAACACGUAGGUAAUCUGCCUUCAGGUCUGGCAUAACUCCGGGAAACCGGGGCUAAUAGCAGAUGAUGCAGCGGCUCGACAUCGAGACAGUUGUUAAAGCUAUGGCGCCUGAAGAUGAGCCUGCGUCUGAUUAGCUAGUUGGCGGGGUAACGGCCCACCAAGGCAACGAUCAGUAGCUGGUCUGAGAGGAUGAUCAGCCACACUGGAACUGAGACACGGUCCAGACUCCUACGGGAGGCAGCAGUAAGGAAUAUUGCUCAAUGGGAGAAAUCCUGAAGCAGCAACGCCGCGUGAGGGACGAAGGGCUUUUGCUUGUAAACCUCUGUAGUGAGAGAAAAAAAUCCCAAUCUUUGGGACAUGAUGGUAUCUAAAAAGUAAGCCCCGGCUAACUACGUG